rnacentral:rRNA from 1 species
AAUCAACGCUGGCGGCGUGCCUCAGACAUGCAAGUCGAACGAUUAAGACUUCCUUCGGGAAGUGCAUAAAGUGGCGCACGGGUGAGUAACACGUAAGUAAUCUACCCUCGAGUGGGGAAUAACAGUCGGAAACGACUGCUAAUACCGCAUAAUGCAGCGGCACCGCAAGGUGACAGUUGUUAAAGGAGCAAUCCGCUUGAGGAGGAGCUUGCGGCGGAUUAGCUUGUUGGUAAGGUAACGACUUACCAAGGCUACGAUCUGUAUCCGAUCUAAGAGGACGGUCGGACACACUGACACUGAAUAACGGGUCAGACUCCUACGGGAGGCAGCAGUCGGGAAUUUUGGGCAAUGGGCGAAAGCCUGACCCAGCAACGCCGCGUGAAGGAUGAAGUAUUUCGGUAUGUAAACUUCGAAAGAAUAGGAAGAAUAAAUGACGGUACUAUUUAUAAGCUCCGGCUAACUACGUGCCAGCCGCCGCAGUAAUAC